CCCUUAGAUGUCCUGGGCCGCACGCGCGCUACAAUGACACGUUCAACAAGUUCUAUCCUGGCCUGGAAAGGUGCGGGUAAUCUUUUUAGUACGUGUCGUGUUAGGGAUCGAUCUUUGGAAUUAUAGAUCUUGAACGAGGAAUUCCCAGUAAGUGCGGGUCAUCAGCUCGCGUUGAUUACGUCCCUGCCCUUUGUACACACCGCCCGUCGCUGCCCGGAACUGAGCCGUUUCGAGAAGACUGAGGAUUGCUGACUUGAGGCCUUCACGGGCUUCUAGUCGGUGAAAAUCAAUUUAAUCGCAGCGGCUUGAACCGGGCAAAAGUCGUAACA
rnacentral:rRNA from 1 species